GACGAACGCUGGCGGCGUGCUUAACACAUGCAAGUCGAACGGAAAGGCCCUGCUUGCAGGGUACUCGAGUGGCGAACGGGUGAGUAACACGUGGGUGAUCUGCCCUGCACUUCGGGAUAAGCUUGGGAAACUGGGUCUAAUACCGGAUAGGAACCAUCUUUAGUGUGGUGGUUGGAAAGUUUUUUCGGUGUAGGAUGAGCUCGCGGCCUAUCAGCUUGUUGGUGGGGUAAUGGCCUACCAAGGCGGCGACGGGUAGCCGGCCUGAGAGGGUGUACGGCCACAUUGGGACUGAGAUACGGCCCAGACUCCUACGGGAGGCAGCAGUGGGGAAUAUUGCACAAUGGGCGCAAGCCUGAUGCAGCGACGCCGCGUGGGGGAUGAAGGCCUUCGGGUUGUAAACUCCUUUCGCCAGGGACGAAGCUUUGUUGUGACGGUACCUAGAGAAGAAGCACCGGCUAACUACGUG
rnacentral:rRNA from 1 species